GUUGUCAAUGGUAAGCGCACAAGCAAUAGCGCGGAGCAUUAAGGAAUUGACAACAAUUUGCCG
rnacentral:sRNA from 1 species